rnacentral:rRNA from 1 species
UAACUAACCUACCUAUACCUGGGGGAUAGCCCGCCGAAAGGCGGAUUAAUACCGCAUAAGGCAUGCGUCCGGCAUCGGGUGUUUGUUAAAGAUUUAUUGGGUAUAGAUGGGGUUGCGGGUCAUUAGCUAGUUGGUAAGGUAACGGCUUACCAAGGCGACGAUGACUAGGGGAGCUGAGAGGCUGGUCCCCCACACGGGCACUGAGAUACGGGCCCG